GACGAACGCUGGCGGCGUGCUUAACACAUGCAAGUCGAACGGAAAGGCCCUGCUUGCCGGGUACUCGAGUGGCGAACGGGUGAGUAACACGUGGGUGAUCUGCCCUGCACUUCGGGAUAAGCCUGGGAAACUGGGUCUAAUACCGGAUAGGAGCCAUUUUUAGUGUGAUGGUUGGAAAGUUUUUUCGGUGUAGGAUGAGCUCGCGGCCUAUCAGCUUGUUGGUGUGGUAAUGGCCUACCAAGGCGGCGACGGGUAGCCGGCCUGAGAGGGUGGACGGCCACAUUGGGACUGAGAUACGGCCCAGACUCCUACGGGAGGAAGAAGUGGGGAAUAUUGCACAAUGGGCGCAAGCCUGAUGCAGCGACGCCGCGGGGGGGAUGACGGCCUUCGGGUUGUAAACUCCUUUCGCUAGGGACGAAGCUUUUUGUGACGGUACCUAGAUAAGAAGCACCGGCUAACUACGUG
rnacentral:rRNA from 1 species